rnacentral:rRNA from 1 species
UACGUAGGUGGCAAGCGUUGUCCGGAUUUAUUGGGCGUAAAGCGAGCGCAGGCGGGAUUUUAAGUCAGCGGUGAAAUUUUCAGGCUCAACCUGAACACUGCCGUUGAAACUGGGAUUCUUGAGUAUGGAUGAAGUAGGCGGAAUUCGUUGUGUAGCGGUGACAUGCUUAGAUAUAACGAGGAACUCCGAUGGCGUAGGCAGCUUACUAAGCCAUAACUGACGCUCAAGCACGAAAGCGUGGGGAUCAAACAGGAUUAGAUACCCUGGUAGUCCACGCCGUAAACGAUGAUUACUAGUUGUUUGCGAUAUACCGUAAGUGACUAAGCGAAAGCGAUAAGUAAUCCACCUGGGGAGUACGCCGGCAACGGUGAA